rnacentral:rRNA from 1 species
UACGUAGGGCGCAAGCGUUAUCCGGAAUUAUUGGGCGUAAAGAGCUCGUAGGCGGUUUGUCGCGUCUGCCGUGAAAGUCCGGGGCUCAACUCCGGAUCUGCGGUGGGUACGGGCAGACUAGAGUGCAGUAGGGGAGACUGGAAUUCCUGGUGUAGCGGUGAAAUGCGCAGAUAUCAGGAGGAACACCGAUGGCGAAGGCAGGUCUCUGGGCUGUAACUGACGUGAGGAGCGAAAGCGUGGGGAGCAAACAGG